CACUUGAAUGGAAUCUCACCAAUACUUCUCCGAUCAUUUUCUCUUAGUAUACCAUUAAUAUCGACUAUGACUUUUGUGUCGCGCAAUGCCCACAAUCGAAACUACAAAAUAAAAAAUGUACUAACGGGGGAGCUCUCCUUCUUCCUCUCGUUUAUGUUCAAAGCCGAAAGCAGUAACAAACAACACCACAAUCACACCACAAUCAGCAGCAACCACAAUCACCACUACAGAUCACAAACACAGGUUAACAAUAAAAUUAUAAAAGUGAAAGCUUAAGUGAAAUGAAGCAGCUCCCUACAACUCACCCAAACAAUAAAACAGUGAAAGCUCCUGACUGACAAAUAGUUUGGAGGUGUAGGGAGAAAAGGGGUUAGGAUCUCAUUUAUUAUUCAUUAAUUAUGGUUUGACUUUAUUAAAUGAAUGAAGGGUAAAAAGGUAAAUUUGGAGUUGCAAGGAGAAAAAAAAAGAAGUGCUGAGAGGAACACUCAAAUCAUUGACAUAUUUUUGUUCAGCAUCGAACGAGACUACGGUAGUCUUAUCAUGACUCCUGGUCUAGUCAAACAAGCAUAAUUAAUUUCUUAGUUGAGCAAGAUAUUGGUGAAAAACCAAUUAAUUUAUUAAGCUGAGUCAAACAAGAUAAUGGUUGAAAAUUUAUUGCUCAAAGAGGUUGUAUCAAACUGAAUUAGUAUUAUUAAAAUAAUUAAAUAAUACAAAAGUAAUACUAAAAGUUAGAAAAAUACAUAAACUUUUCACAUCCAAAAUACACUUACAAAUUUAAUA
rnacentral:lncRNA from 1 species